rnacentral:rRNA from 1 species
GGGCCGCACGCGCGCUACACUGACGGAGCCAGCGAGUGUAACCUUGGCCGAGAGGUAUGGGUAAUCUUGUGAAACUCCGUCGUGCUGGGGAUAGAGCAUUGUAAUUUUUGCUCUUCAACGAGGAAUUCCUAGUAAGCGCAAGUCAUCAGCUUGCGUUGAUUACGUCCC